rnacentral:misc_RNA from 1 species
GAAUUCUCCAUUUUAUUUAUAUAUUUAUUUAUUCUUUUAAAAAGGCAAUUUUAUCACAAAAAGUAUAAACAUUUCAACUCACUUAAUAGGUGUUAACAAAGUGCUAUUUUUUUAUCCAGUUGGGUGGCCCUUCAUGGCAAGUUGAGCUGGGCAGAAGAGACUCCACGACUGCAAGUUAUAGUGCUGCAAACACUGAUCUUCCAUCCCCGCUAAUGGAUCUCAGUGAUCUUAUAUCUUCCUUCUCAAAUAAAGGCUUCACUGCUAAAGAAAUGGUUGCUCUUGCAGGCAAGAUAACCAUAAUAAUUCUUGCAAACUAUAAUAUUGUCACUUCAGAUUUUGGUUUCUUCAAACUAAUUUCUAUCAUUUUCAUGAUUAACAGGAGCUCACACAACAGGCCAAGCCAGAUGCUUGAUGUUUCGAAGCCGAGUCUACAAUGAGACCAACAUAGAUUCAACACUGGCAACAUCAUUAAAAUCAAGCUGUCCAAGACCAACAUAGAUUCAACACUGGCAACAUCAUUAAAAUCAAGCUGUCCAAGCACAGGCAACGACACCAAUCUCUCUCCACUAGAUGCCACUAGCCCUGUGAUAUUUGAUAAUGCCUAUUUCACCAAUUUGGUUAACAACAAAGGCCUUCUGCACUCAGAUCAGCAGCUUUUUAGCGGUGGCUCUACCGAUUCGCAGGUAAAAACCUACAGCACCAAUCCUGUUACUUUCUACACAGAUUUUGCUAAUGCCAUACUCAAGAUGGGGAAACUCAGCCCGCUUACAGGAACUGAUGGACAGAUUCGCACCAACUGCCGGAAAGUUAAUCUUUGCAUAUUUGCAUUAUUGAUGAAUGUUGCGAAUUGCUGCAUUUAUGCUUUUACAAUCAAAUUCCAUGGUCUUCAUCCAGUUCUCAAAGUCUCCAAUUUCCUUAAUUGCAGUGUUAAUGGCAUGAGUGGCAGUAAGCCACUGAUCAGUUUGUCUCAUGAAUCUGGAAAUCGUUGCAGCUAAAGCUCGAAUCUCGAGUUCAAUUCGUUUCUCGUUGAUGAAAGAUUCUUGAACUCCCCCAUUCACUGCGUCCAUCAAUAGAUCUGAUACCCUCACGGCCUUCUUAAUUGCAUCUUUCUUCGCUUUCUCGGUAAGUUCGCGGAGACGGAGAGACUUGUGGUGGUGAUCGUGCAUAAGUUGGAGGAGAGAAGCUUCAAGGCCUCCUGGCUCUGGCUGCGGCUUCUCUGUCUCCCAUGGCGAAGCCACGCGCGUACGCGCCAACGGAAGCUGUGGUGAAUACAUCCAGCGAGUGAGGUUCUCUUUUCGGUCGAUGCAAGUGUUUUCUGCUGUUGAUAGAAGCUUCACUCACUCUUUGAGAUCCGGAUCCAGUUAU